CCCAGACUCCUACGGGAGGCAGCAGUGGGGAAUAUUGGGCAAUGGGCGCAAGCCUGACCCAGCAACGCCGCGUGAAGGAAGAAGGCUUUCGGGUUGUAAACUUCUUUUAAGAGGGAAGAGAAGAAGACGGUACCUCUUGAAUAAGCCACGGCUAACUACGUGCCAGCAGCCGCGGUAAUACGUAGGUGGCAAGCGUUGUCCGGAUUUACUGGGUGUAAAGGGCGUGCAGCCGGGCUGACAAGUCAGAUGUGAAAUCCCGCGGCUCAACCGCGGAACUGCAUUUGAAACUGUCAGUCUUGAGUACCGGAGAGGUCAUCGGAAUUCCUUGUGUAGCGGUGAAAUGCGUAGAUAUUAGGAAGAACACCAGUGGCGAAGGCGGCUUACUGGACUGUAACCGACGCUGAGGCUCGAAAGCGUGGGGAGCGAACAGGAUUAGAUACCCGAGUAAA
rnacentral:rRNA from 1 species